GACGAACGCUGGCGGCGUGCCUAAUACAUGCAAGUAGAACGCUGAAGGAGGAGCUUGCUUCUCCGGAUGAGUUGCGAACGGGUGAGUAACGCGUAGGUAACCUGCCUGGUAGCGGGGGAUAACUAUUGGAGACGAUAGCUAAUACCGCAUAACAGUAGAUAUUGCAUGAUAUCUGCUUGAAAGGUGCAAUUGCAUCACUACCAGAUGGACCUGCGUUGUAUUAGCUAGUUGGUGAGGUAACGGCUCACCAAGGCGACGAUACAUAGCCGACCUGAGAGGGUGAUCGGCCACACUGGGACUGAGACACGGCCCAGACUCCUACGGGAGGCAGCAGUAGGGAAUCUUCGGCAAUGGACGGAAGUCUGACCGAGCAACGCCGCGUGAGUGAAGAAGGUUUUCGGAUCGUAAAGCUCUGUUGUAAGAGAAGAACGAGUGUGAGAGUGGAAAGUUCACACUGUGACG
rnacentral:rRNA from 1 species